rnacentral:rRNA from 1 species
AACGAACGCUGGCGGCAUGCCUAACACAUGCAAGUCGAACGAGACCUUCGGGUCUAGUGGCGCACGGGUGCGUAACGCGUGGGAACCUGCCCUUAGGUUCGGAAUAACUCCCCGAAAGGGGUGCUAAUACCGGAUAAUGUCUUCGGACCAAAGAUUUAUCGCCUUUGGAUGGGCCCGCGUUGGAUUAGCUAGUUGGUAGGGUAAAAGCCUACCAAGGCGACGAUCCAUAGCUGGUCUGGGAGGAUGAUCAGCCACACUGGGACUGAGACACGGCCCAGACUCCUCCGCAAGGCAGCAGUGGGGAAUAUUGGACAAUGGGCGAAAGCCUGAUCCAGCAAUGCCGCGUGAGUGAUGAAGGCCUUAGGGUUGUAAAGCUCUUUUACCCGGGACGAUAAUGACAGUACCGGGAGAAUAAGCUCCGGUUAACUCCGUG